rnacentral:rRNA from 1 species
GACGAACGCUGGCGGCGUGCUUAACACAUGCAAGUCGAACGGAAAGGCCCUGCUUUUGUGGGGUGCUCGAGUGGCGAACGGGUGAGUAACACGUGAGUAACCUGCCCUUGACUUUGGGAUAACUUCAGGAAACUGGGGCUAAUACCGGAUAGGAGCUCCUGCUGCAUGGUGGGGGUUGGAAAGUUUCGGCGGUUGGGGAUGGACUCGCGGCUUAUCAGCUUGUUGGUGGGGUAGUGGCUUACCAAGGCUUUGACGGGUAGCCGGCCUGAGAGGGUGACCGGCCACAUUGGGACUGAGAUACGGCCCAGACUCCUACGGGAGGCAGCAGUGGGGAAUAUUGCACAAUGGGCGGAAGCCUGAUGCAGCAACGCCGCGUGCGGGAUGACGGCCUUCGGGUUGUAAACCGCUUUCGCCUGUGACGAAGCGUGAGUGACGGUAAUGGGUAAAGAAGCACCGGCUAACUACGUGCCAGCAGCCGCGGUGAUACGUAGGGUGCGAGCGUUGUCCGGAUUUAUUGGGCGUAAAGGGCUCGUAGGUGGUUGAUCGCGUCGGAAGUGUAAUCUUGGGGCUUAACCCUGAGCGUGCUUUCGAUACGGGUUGACUUGAGGAAGGUAGGGGAGAAUGGAAUUCCUGGUGGAGCGGUGGAAUGCGCAGAUAUCAGGAGGAACACCAGUGGCGAAGGCGGUUCUCUGGGCCCUUCCUGACGCUGAGGAGCGAAAGCGUGGGGAGCGAACAGGCUUAGAUACCCUGGUAGUCCACGCUGUAAACGGUGGGUACUAGGUGUGGGGUCCAUUCCACGGGUUCCGUGCCGUAGCUAACGCUUUAAGUACCCCGCCUGGGGAGUACGGCCGCAAGGCUAAAACUCAAAGGAAUUGACGGGGCCCCGCACAAGCGGCGGAGCAUGCGGAUUAAUUCGAUGCAACGCGUAGAACCUUACCUGGGUUUGACAUGGAUCGGGAGUGCUCAGAGAUGGGUGUGCCUCUUUUGGGGUCGGUUCACAGGUGGUGCAUGGCUGUCGUCAGCUCGUGUCGUGAGAUGUUGGGUUAAGUCCCGCAACGAGCGCAACCCUUGUUCACUGUUGCCAGCACGUUAUGGUGGGGACUCAGUGGAGACCGCCGGGGUCAACUCGGAGGAAGGUGGGGAUGACGUCAAGUCAUCAUGCCCCUUAUGUCCAGGGCUUCACGCAUGCUACAAUGGCUGGUACAGAGAGUGGCGAGCCUGUGAGGGUGAGCGAAUCUCGGAAAGCCGGUCUCAGUUCGGAUUGGGGUCUGCAACUCGACCUCAUGAAGUCGGAGUCGCUAGUGAUCGCAGAUCAGCAACGCUGCGGUGAAUACGUUCCCGGGGCU